CCUACGGGAGGCAGCAGUGAGGAAUAUUGGUCAAUGGGCGAGAGCCUGAACCAGCCAAGUCGCGUGAGGGAGUACUGCCCUAUGGGUUGUAAACCUCUUUUGUCGGGGAGCAAAAGCCGGACGUGUCCGGCUGUGAGAGUACCCGAAGAAAAAGCAUCGGCUAACUCCGUGCCAGCAGCCGCGGUAAUACGGAGGAUGCGAGCGUUAUCCGGAUUUAUUGGGUUUAAAGGGUGCGCAGGCGGAUUUUUAAGUCAGCGGUAAAAUCGUGGGGCUCAACCCCAUCCAGCCGUUGAAACUGGGGAUCUAGAGUGUGCGAGAGGUAUGCGGAAUGCGGGGUGUAGCGGUGAAAUGCAUAGAUAUCACGCAGAACCCCGAUUGCGAAGGCAGCAUACCGGUGCACAACUGACGCUCAGGCACGAAAGCGUGGGUAUCGAACAGGAGUAGAUACCCCUGUAGUC
rnacentral:rRNA from 1 species